UGCAAUUUAUACAGUCUUACAUCAGUGUUAAUAAGUGAUGUCAUUGGAAAUUCUUUUUGUGUCUGUUCAUACAAGUGACACUAAUAAAUACACAUUUGUAUCACUUUCCAAAACUAAUGCUAAUAUAAAGUCGGUUCAUUAUAAGAAUUUUUUACUUCCCAAGACACUUUUUGAGUUUCGUAUUUCACCGUAAGGCACUUUGCACUUGAAGCAACCUUAUUUGCUAGUCAAAGACAUUGAUGCCCUUAUAAUAAAGAAAACCAAACCGGACUUCUAUUAGCCUAAACCUAACCAUACCAACCUCACCCUAUACCAAGUUCAAAAUCCUAAAUUCUCAUAUUUCCUCAUUUUGAAUCACAAGCUUUUUUUUAAGAGAGAAAAAAACUUUGUGCGGCGGAAAUUAAGAACUCUAGUUCCUCUAUCAUCGUCCUCACCUUCUAAAUCUUAUUUCUUGAUUUUCGUCACAAACCUCCAUCUCACACGCUACUCAACACCAUCUGAAUCUCACCAUCGAGUAGAGUACACAGUCAUUUUUUUCCCACAUGCGAGGAAACAACAAACCGACCACCGCCUCCCACAAAUCCCAUUGAAAGAUGAUUGAGUUCUGGGCUGGUGACAUGUGGAUAGGAGAGUUGUGGGCUGGUGACCUGUGGAUGGGUGAGUUGUAGUUGGGUGACAUGUGGUCGGGUGAGCUGCGGAUUGGUGAACUAUUGUAACGUGAGAUGUGUACGGACGAGCUGUGGUCGGGUGAGUUGUGGACGGGUAAGCCAUGGAGGAGCGAGCUGGGGACGUAAUGUUGUGUGGCUGACCAAAUGGGAGUGUUGUGUGGAUGGAGAGUCAACUUCCACCCAUGUAGCUUUCGUACUCCCUGCUUACUACGCUCCACCCAUGCAACAAUCAGAAGUUUCAAAACUAUUUUGUGUUCUAUGUUCCCUAUGUUUUAUCUUUUUAACUCGGCGUUUCUAUAGCGCGUAAGAUGUCCAUGUAAUCUUUUCUAGACUGUAGCCUCUUCAUUGUUUUUGAGAUCAAACAAUCCGUAUGUAAUGUUAAUGCUAAGGUUUAUGUUUAAAAAAAAAAUAGUUGUGUACA